rnacentral:rRNA from 1 species
CCGAAUGAUAGAAUGUGGCGCAUGCCACGCUUUUGAAAGAUGGUUUCGGCUAUCGCUUACAGAUGGGCCCGCGGUGCAUUAGCUAGUUGGUAGGGUAAUGGCCUACCAAGGCAACGAUGCAUAGCCGACCUGAGAGGGUGAUCGGCCACACUGGGACUGAGACACGGCCCAGACUCCUACGGGAGGCAGCAGUAGGGAAUCUUCCGCAAUGGACGAAAGUCUGACGGAGCAACGCCGCGUGUAUGAAGAAGGUUUUCGGAUCGUAAAGUACUGUUGUUAGAGAAGAACAAGGAUAAGAGUAACUGCUUGUCCCUUGACGGUAUCUAACCAGAAAGCCACGGCUAACUACGUGCCAGCAGCCGCGGUAAUACGUAGGUGGCAAGCGUUGUCCGGAUUUAUUGGGCGUAAAGCGCGCGCAGGCGGUCUUUUAAGUCUGAUGUGAAAGCCCCCGGCUUAACCGGGGAGGGUCAUUGGAAACUGGAAGACUGGAGUGCAGAAGAGGAGAGUGGAAUUCCACGUGUAGCGGUGAAAUGCGUAGAUAUGUGGAGGAACACCAGUGGCGAAGGCGACUCUCUGGUCUGUAACUGACGCUGAGGCGCGAAAGCGUGGGGAGCAAACAGGAUU